rnacentral:lncRNA from 1 species
UAGCAGGUAGACGAGGCCACACCCUGCCUCAGAUGUCUACCUUCCUGUGACCAUCUCAACGGCGGGCUUCUUCCGUUCCAGUCGCCGGUGACGGGGACGACGCGUACGGACGUCAGGAGCCGGGUAAUCCUCCCGGCUGAUUCGCUGCAAUCGCAUUCUCCCCGUAAACGAGCACGAGGCCACGACAGUGAUGUGCUGCAAAUUAAACGUUGCCUCCGCCACCAGGAUCUUAUUUCUCUUCCUGUUCUUCGUGGAAGACGUGAACAAAUGCGUUAUGGCUAAUCUCAUGUGGCUAAUCUUCUCCCCCCGACAUAUGCCACAUAACUCUUGUUCUGCGUCUGGCUUCAAACAGACCGGCUAGGUCCUGAGUCGGCAACUCCCGGAACUUACUGCGUGGUCUUCUAUCGGCCCGGGAAACCUUCAUCAGCCCGAUCAGUCUUGAUUAACUGGAUCUUGCGGGGCAUGUUCGUGCUGUGUCUCCCGAAAUUUCCUCCCAUGUUGAGUUCUUAGGAGAAUCUUGGUGAUGACAUCGGGAACACCACCUCCGAGUCUCCCUUUCGCGGCAUGCAACUUUCAAGGCUGGCAUCCGCG